UCGAGAAUCUUUCGCAAUGGGCGAAAGCCUGACGAAGCGACGCCGUGUGUGUGAUGAAGGCCUCGGGUUGUAAAGCACUUUCGCUAGGGAACAAGAGAGGUUGGCUAAUAUCCAGCCGAUUUGAGGGUACCUGGUAAAGAAGCACCGGCUAACUCCGUGCCAGCAGCUGCGGUAAUACGGAGGGUGCAAGCGUUAAUCGGAUUUAUUGGGCGUAAAGAGCACGUAGGCGGAGUGGAAAGUUAGAUGUGAAAUCCCGAGGCUCAACUUCGGACACGCAUCUAAAAACUCCCAUUCUAGAGGAUGGAAGGAGAAAAGGGAAUUCCACGUGUAGCGGUGAAAUGCGUAGAUAUGUGGAAGAACACCGGUGGCGAAGGCGCUUUUCUAUUUUAUUCCUGACGCUGAGGUGCGAAAGCAAGGGGAGCAAACAGGAUUAGAUACCCUGGUAGUCCUUGCCGUAAACGGAUGUACACUUGAUGUAACAGGUCUCAACCCCUGUU
rnacentral:rRNA from 1 species